UCGAAGCCGUCAAAAAUAAACCUAUUAAACAAUCAACAAUAAACUUGUAGAUAGUGGCAAUAGGAUCGAACCACAGAGAAUUGACACCAAUGAUUUUCCUAAUAAUGACUAGGUCAAGUAAAUAACAAGUAAAUAAAAGAGGGGGGUUUGAUUUGAUGAAUUAAAACUAAAUAGUAAAAGAAAGCAAUAAUUUAAAGAUGAGUAAAUCAAUAAGAG
rnacentral:lncRNA from 1 species